UAUAAGGGAUUUUGAGUUUUUGUUUGCAACGUUUGACCACUCGUCUUAUUCAAAAUUUUUUAAAAUUAUUAUUUAUUUUAUUUAUGAUUUACUUUAUUAUCUACGGUACUUUAAGCAAAACUUUUCGUUUUUAUCUUUAGAAAAAAAAUUAAAUAAGACGAGUGGUCAAACGUUGCAAGAAAAACUUAAAAUCCCUUAUA
rnacentral:pre_miRNA from 1 species